rnacentral:lncRNA from 1 species
CCCAUCUCUGGCCCAUGCAGCCUGAGCCCAGAGUUGACAACAUGACCAUCAGUCAGUCCUUCCCUGGACAAACAGACAAAGCUCCUCAUGCCAGCACAACACUUGGUCCCAGGGCUGGCAGCCAGGAGCACAGAGAAGAACCCACAGACACUCACAGUGACCCCAGGAAGACAGAUAUCCAUGCAGUGUGGCAGUGCUGUGGGAUGCAGGAGCAGGCUGGACCUGAGGUUGCAUUCUGAGCACCCCAGGGACCAGCUGAGGGCCUGCAAGCACAGCGGGUAGCCUCUUUUCUGGGGGUAGUAGCAGUGGCCCCUGGGACUUGCAGCUGGGCCCUACCCAGACUCCCCCAGGGCUGUGCAGCAGUCAUCCACACUUGCAGCCUUCUGCAGAAGACUGGAGUGCCAGCAUCCAAGGGCCGAGCAGUGCAGGGGCCUGACUCCAACUCCCCUGCCUCAGAGGGAGGCUAGCUGUGGGGUCAGUUGACACUCCGGAGUCCCCAUGGAAUCAGGCUAGACUUCCGCUACAACUGCACUUCUGUCCAGCCUCCUCCUCUCCCUGCAUGGUGCUUGUCCUUCCCACACAGAUGUCUCCUGAGAGCAUACCCUCUCUAAACCCCUUCUAUCAGAAUCCCCAGCCCAUGCACUGAGUCAUAGCCCUCACAGGCAGGAACGAGAUGAGAGGGCACAGAACAAGCACUCAGAAGCCAGGUGCCACCGCUGCACGUUCAGGGGCUCAAUAGGCCAGAGGAGGGGGGCGUCCUCACCUCCAGGAGGUGGAGGUGCUCCCCACUGGGGCCAUCCAGCUGAGCCCCAAGGUGGGAGUGUGCAUUCAGGAGGCACACAGGCAGGGGAAACCACUCACAAAGGCAGGAAGGGGGAUGGCCAGCUCAGGAGCUGGACGGAGGGGCAGGGCGGGGACGGCAGGAAGGCUCGGAGAGAUGAAGGGAGGCACCAGAGAACCACACCACCUGCUAACAUGCUCCCUAGAGCACGGGAGCGACCUGGCCUCAACCUCUGCCUCUGCCCCUCUCUGCAGACCCCAGAGGCUCACUGGCAAAAUCAGUGUAAUGAUGCUGGCAUCAAAAAGAGGCACAUUAAGUCACAUGUCAGUGAAACGCCCAGCAGAGCCCUUGGACAGUAGGCUGGUCAGGGGCCCUCCCAGCAUCUGGGUAUAAAUGCACACACCCAGAAUGAAUGUGUACACCCAGAGCCCCCAGGCACAUGACUGUACACCACACCCAGGCCUGGGCACCGGCAGGGUGGACCGAGGGCACCAGCCUCCCCACACCUGCUGCUCCUUCCUCUCCACUCUGCAACCUGGGCCCUGCCUGGCACUGGUGCUGUCCUGGAGAUCCCCUCCUGUGUCUUCCCCUGACAGCGUCCCCGGUUGCCUCACAUAAGACAGCUCUGCACUCGGUGCACCACCGGAUGCAUCUGGCGUCCUGCCCAGGGCUGAGAACACUGUGCUGCCCUGGAGUCCAACCCUGGGUGCUAUGGCAGGCCAGAGAGCCACUGUGGAACCCUGGUCCCCACGGGCAGGGGCUCUCCAGACGUCAGCAGGCAGCAGGGCAUGUAGCCCUCGACGGCCGUGAUCCACAGCGCUCAGCAUUCUAUUUUUAUCAUUUAACCCCAAACUUUCUAUUCCAUUGUUUCUUUGACCCAUCAUUCAAACAUGUGUUUCAAAUUUUCUAAAUAUACAACUCUUUUAGAGUUAUCUAUUUUGUUAUCACUUUCUCUCUUAAUUGCACUGUAGUCGGAACACUUGGCCCGAAUAGCAGCUUCUUUGACAUUUGUGCGUUGAGUGUCCCAGGAUGGGAGGAGGAGAACCAGGGGCCGGCCAAGCCCAGGAAAUGGGUGUCUGGGAACAAGGCAGUGGACAUCCACGGCGGUCCACCGGGCAGGGGUGGCCACAGCAGCAGUCACACCCCCACCCCGUCCAUCACAGCACAGGCCCCGCUUGAGUCCUCACACCUGUCCACUCCUGGCCGGUCACCCCUCACAGCCCUCUGUCAUGGUGCCUGGAGGGGAGGGCCUCUGACACCCCCAGCAAUCCACCAGUGGGUAUCAGAGGCCCUCCUCUAUGGCUGUCAGCCCACCAGUGCCACUUCAGUCCCCUCCCUCCGCACA